rnacentral:rRNA from 1 species
CCUACGGGAGGCAGCAGUGAGGAAUAUUGGUCAAUGGUCGGGAGACUGAACCAGCCAAGCCGCGUGAGGGAUGAAGGUACAGAGUAUCGUAAACCUCUUUUGUCAGGGAACAAAGGCGGGGACGUGUCCCCGGAUGAGUGUACCUGAAGAAAAAGCAUCGGCUAACUCCGUGCCAGCAGCCGCGGUAAUACGGAGGAUUCGAGCGUUAUCCGGAUUUAUUGGGUUUAAAGGGUGCGCAGGCGGUUUGUUAAGUCAGCGGUAAAAGCCCGGGGCUCAACCCCGGCCCGCCGUUGAAACUGGCAGUCUCGAGUUGGAGAGAAGUAUGCGGAAUGCGCGGUGUAGCGGUGAAAUGCAUAGAUAUCGCGCAGAACUCCGAUUGCGAAGGCAGCAUGCCGGCUCCACACUGACGCUGAGGCACGAAAGCGUGGGUAUCGAACAGGAUUAGAUACCCCAGUAGUC